CCUACGGGAGGCAGCAGUGGGGAAUAUUGCACAAUGGGGGAAACCCUGAUGCAGCGACGCCGCGUGAGUGAAGAAGUAUCUCGGUACGUAAAGCUCUAUCAGCAGGGAAGAAAAUGACGGUACCUGACUAAGAAGCCCCGGCUAACUACGUGCCAGCAGCCGCGGUAAUACGUAGGGGGCAAGCGUCAUCCGGCUUUCCUGGGUGUAAAGGGAGAGUAGACGGCAGCACAAGGCUGGAGUGAAAGGCCGGGGCUUAACCCCUGAACUGCUUGGGAAACUGUGCGGCGGGAGUGCAGGAGGGGUAAGCGGAAUUACUAGUGUAGCGGUGAAAUGAGUAGAUAUUAGGAGGAACACCGGUGGCGAAGGCGGCUUACUGGACUGUAACUGACGUUGAGGCUCGAAAGCGUGGGGAGCAAACAGGAUUAGAUACCCUAGUAGUC
rnacentral:rRNA from 1 species